UUUAAGAUGGCAGACAAUAUGCGAUAGAUUUAGGAUCUAUAGAAGGAUAUUUCCUCUUAAUU
rnacentral:tRNA from 1 species